UACAUGUAUGUGUGUGUGUUUAGGGUUGAAUCUCGUUUUUCAUUUCAGCCUCACUGGUGAUUCAUUUCUCUCCCUCACUCAUUCUCUCUACCCCUGCCUCCCUCCCUUCCCUCCACCGCCGAUCUUCUUCACUCGCCACCAAUCUCCUCUCUCAGCGUCUCUCUCUCUCUCUCCCCCCUUCACUCCACCAAUCUACUUUUUCCUCUAUCACCGUGGUCUCCAAAGGCGAUCCCGCCACCACCGUGGUCUUCAAAGGCGAUCCCGCUACCAUCGUCUACAACUUCUCCAUUGCUGCCCCUUUUUCUCUCAGUUCCGAGCACUCUUGGAGAAGGUGAAGACGAAGCAAAUCUAUCCGAGAUCUGAGUUUCAUAGCUAUUUAUCUCUCUGUUUGUUGAUGUCUCUCUUUAUCUCAAUGCUGUUUAUCUCUCUUUAUCUCACUGUUUGUUGUUGAUGUUGAUGAUGAUCAGAUGAAACAAAUUGUAGUUGUAGUUGUUGUUGAUGUUGAUGUGUUGAUGUCGAUCCGACGACCUCGGUUUCUCUUUUUUUUUUUCUUUUGAGCGGGGAAUUUCGGGGUCGGGGAUACCUGAUCCCCGUUAGAGGACGGGGGUGGGGAUGGUGAUAGGUCCCCCGUCGAGGAUCGGGGCCGGGGACGGGGACAUUGUUACCAUCGGGGACCGGGGACGGGGAGUAUGAUCCCCGGCCCCGGCCCGGGCCAUUCCUAAGCAGUGGUUUGAUUCUUCAUCUUGAUAUUGAUGCACAAUUUUCAUCUUGAUGCACAAUUUUCUGAGAUUUUCUACCUUUUUUUUUUUAGCUUCACACAAACACACACACACAUAUACACUUAUUCUGAGAUCUUAUAUUAUCAUUUAUUCUUCGUCUUCUUUAAAUUUUUUGUAGAUAUAUAUGAGUUUGAGUAAAUUGAUUUGGUUUCUAACAGAGAUCGUAGUGAUUUGGAUUCAAUAGCGAUUUGGUGUGUUUUCAAUCUCUCUCUCUCUCUCCACAGACACAGCAUAUAUACAUGUACAUAUCUAUAUAUAUACUCCUCUGUGUUCAUUCAAAAAUUGGAUUCGAAUUACCCUAUUACUUAUAGUCACAGCUUUAGUUGUUAUAUACCCUCAUGUGCCUAAUCUAGCAGAUAAAGAAGCUCUGUUUGGUUACCGAGAAAACACAGGAAAAUUGAAGAAAAACAAAAUUAAUCAGAAAAUGAAAAUCCUCUUCCAUCAACAUAAAAUUAAAAUAAUUUGCUAUCUAUAAUAGUGUUAUUGUUAGCAAAACCAUAAAAAACAUAAGAACAAGUUUUAAUAAAAAUUCUUAAAAAUCAACUCGACAAGCCUUAUCGCUUUGCUGUGAGAUGUUUAUCUAAUUAUUGUUCAAUUUUUAUAGUAUUGAUAUAUUUUUAGCUAAUUUUAUGUUUUAUAUUCUUUACUUUUUAUCUGCAAAAGUGAUUGGUAUGACCUGUUCACUUGGUUUGACAUUAUUCAUGGAACUUUAUGUACAUCGUAAUGUGCAUAGAUUUUCAUGGGCCCAAAAGAAAGAAUGAAGCCAAAAACCAAGAUAAGAUAUUGACAUGUAUUUCUCUAGAGUAUAUGGUCUGUUGGACAUUGACGUUGCUGAAGGAUCAAGAAACCUUUUAAUCUUGUUAAGUGUGCCCUAUAUUGCUUAAUUAAAGAUAUUGUGAUAAUAUAAUUAUCAUACAAAUUAAGAUGAUGUUGAAUCCUACAAUGGCAAGGUUGUUUACAGAAGGUCUUCCAGUAACUGCCUUCUAGGUACAAUUUUUCUCUCUUAAAAAGCUACUUAAAAAAAAGCACGAGACUUCUGUUAAAAUGGGAUUUGAGAAGAGUAAGAUGCACGUAGUCUAAACGAUUCUUGAAUUUGUUUUGGAUUAUGUUACGUUGCAAAGGAGAUCCGAAGCCAAGUUACCUUGUUUGAGAUCAAUCACUACUAGAUAACCAGUCUGAAUUUGGUGAUUCUGAGCCUUCGGAGACUCCAAGACACAGUCAUGAAGUGAUUUGCAAUUCGAGAAAUGAUAGUUUCAAUAGUCCUGUCCAGAAACACAAGAAAUUUCAUGAGCUCAUUGAAGCAUAAAAACAUCACUCCUCUGCUUGGGAUUUGUGUUGAAGACAAUGAACUAAUAUCUGUUUAUGAUUUCUUGUCUGGAGGAAAUCUAGAAGAAAACCUACAUGGUAAUAGCAAAGAAACAGCUGUAUUGUCAUGGGAAUUGAGAUUCAAACCAGCUGUUGAAAUUGUUGAAGCCCUAAAUUACUUGCACAAUGAAUGUUUUCGGCCGGUCAUUCACAGAGAUGUCAAGUCUUCAAACAUUCGUCUCUCUAAUGAGUUUGAACCGAAGGUGGUAGUUAUGACAGUUGAAAAUCUACACAAAUGUUUCAAUCCCCAAUGUAUUUGCUUCAGGUGUUAUAGGAUUGACUGCUGCUUCAUUUUGUUACUUGCAAUUCCUUCCACCCCAUAUGACAUGGAUGGCACCUAGUCAAGGAAGGAUUGCCGAUCCAAAUAUUAUGAAAUGCACUCUGAAAGUUUUACCUAAGGUUGUGUGGUGUCUCCUUCGAUUAGAAGCUUGGUGAAGGAUUUCAAAUUCCUCAUGCAAAGGUGUGGCUAUGGUAUCCAUCAUGUUUUGCGCGAAAGCAAUAGCAGUGCGGAUGGUCUUGCUAAAUUGGGAGCUAAUCAAGUUGAGCCUCUUGUUGUCAUGGACGAGGCUCUUGAAGAUAUUCGAGGGCUAGUGAUUGCUGACGUGGUUGGAUGUUCCCAGUCAUCGUAAAAGAUUACAUCGUCGAGAAAUAAGUAGUUUCUCAAAGAAGAAAAAGAUUGACAAAGUUGAGUGUGUUAUAGAGCCAACAACAGAAGAAAGUGAAAAUCAACUAGAAGUUGAACGUGAAUCUAACAUUGACAAUGGGAAGCCCAAACAGCAGCAACUGAAACAAGCUACAGAGCUCCACAAAGCAAGAGGAAAGAAAAAAGUUGAUGGAAGAAAAAUUAGGACGGAACAGAUACAUAAUCAUGAAGCAAAGGUACUGGGACUACAAUUGGUUAAUGAAAUAUACUGAGGAUAUUGAUAGAAUGAAGUUUUAUGAUUAGUGUGGCGCAACGAAACAACAGCUCACAAGAUCAAUAGCAAGCAACAUGAACCAAAUCGAUAAAGUCUCUGGAUGUGUAAUAAUCUUAUUGGUAAGUAAAUACCUCACUUACAAGUUAUAAGAUAUAAUAUUUACAUUUACUAAAUACUUAUUUAUAACAAUUUUUUUGUCCUUAACAAUAUUGGAUAUGCGAGCAUACAAGCAUCAUCAAACCAAAUGACAAGAACGCAAUCUCAAGAUUUGCAAAAUGGAACAUCACACAUCUGGGACAAUAAUUGGCAAAUUCAUCCUUGGAUGAUCUGAAAAAUAUUGUGGAGAGCAAUUUGAAGCACACAAAUGAAGAACAACAAAUAUAUAAACAAUUGCUACCACAAACAGAAGAUGAGGACGAAGGUGAAGAACCUAACUUUGAGGAAC